rnacentral:lncRNA from 13 species
CAUCGCCACAGAGGAACAGCAGUGACAGCUGAACUUGGGGCAGGUGGAUCUGCCAGAGUGUCAGAUGCCAACUCUGCCAGGCCCCUUGGGAAUGCAGUUUCUGACUGAGUGGUGAUGACAGUG